rnacentral:lncRNA from 1 species
AGGCUCAAAGGAUUCAAAUACUUGCCCAAGGUCCCAGGUUCGUUUGAUUGACAGAGCAUGAGUACCCUCCUAAAUGCCCCUUGAGGUCUCUAUAUUUAGGAGGAAGCAGCUUCAGAACUCUAGCUCCCCACCCCAGGUCCAUUCCAGUUUAGAAACUCCACAGCCACCUCAACAGCAGGAACAAAGGUGGGUCUCUGUCCUGCCUCUGGGGCCAGGCUGGCUGAUGGCUUCAGGCCCAACCAAAAGAUCCCUUCCACCCACCCGACUCUAGCAACACCCACAUCACCAACCCUGGGCCUCCCACCAGAGCCUCCACCUUCUAGGAAGUCACCCUCCCUCCUGCAAGAUGCUGGUGGCUGAGACUGGAGGGACCCUUUCAAUUUCAGGAUAAACAAACUGUCGUUCUGGCCCAGCCCUCUGCCGGCUUGCUGCUUCCCGCCCCCCUCCAUCCGCAGUGCACAGUCGCUCUGUUCUCCUGCCAACUUGGCAGCUCAUCGCUGCUGUUACUAUCAACACCUCCAAGGGAAAAGGGAGAGGAGUCAGCUCUGAUCGCCUGGCGCACUGUGCAGCAAAUUCAUGUCAGAGCCAGCCUUGGAAUGUCUCCCAAGCUCCCAAGGCUCCUGGAGCCUUUCUCCCAGAUGUGAAACUGAUCCUAAGACCCCCUGUAAUUUCCUGCUGAAAAUCUCCACCAAGAAACACAGCCACAGCCACAGUUCUUCCUGGUAAGAAGCCCCCAGGGCCAGGCAACAAGAAAAGUGAGCUCGUUCAGCAGGCUGGGAUGUAAAUAAGCCACAAGAGGCUGUGCCAUUCUGGGUUGCACCUGUGAGCAUCACUCAGCUGAAGCCCCAUCAGCGUUUCCAUGACAAACUCGUAUUUCCGGAUGCCUUUCUUCCAGCUUGAAGAGCCUGCCUCGUGGUUGUGAAAAGUGAAAAAGAAAAUCUAAAAAAGACAAAUGGAGAAGGAACAGCUAGUGAAGUCAGAGGAAGAUUGGAAGACCCUGGUGUCCUGGAAGCAACUGAAGAAAGUGUUUCAAGAAGAAAGGAGUGAUCACAUGACUUAAAAUGCCACCGAUGGGUCAAAUAAGAACAGAGAAUUGACCAUGGAAUCUGUCAACACAGAAGUCAUCAGUGGCCUUGAUAAAUGUAGUUUCACUGCCAUGUGGGGGAAAAAUGAUGUCAUCAGCUGAAAGUGAGAAGCAAGGAGAACUGCGUGCAGGCCUGAAAAGAAAGGAGGCGUGAUGCAGUCAUCUGCCAGAGGGAGUAGGAGAGGCGACUUGCCUGGGGAAAACAGUGUAGGAUUGCUGGGCAGCAAUAUGGCAGCAAUGUGGUCCUCUGAGGUCAGUGGUGAUGAAUUUAAAGGGAAACCUUUCAGUACAGCUCUGUGUUUUUCUCCAGCCACCUUUAACACCUGGAGUGCAGGCAUUAAAUAGCUAAAAGUCACAUUUGACAAGUGUUGAUUUUGCUAGGCCUAUAGGUUGGGAGAGAGAAGGUCAGAAUGGUUGUCAUUGUUAUCUAUUGCUGUGAAACACAUGACUCCAACACAAUUACUCCCAAACAACAAAUAUUUAUUACCUCAUAGUUUCUGUGGGUCACAGUUUGGAAUUUGGAAGCAGCUCAGGCUGGGCAGUUCUGGCUUGGGGUCUUUCACGAGGCUGCAGUCAAAUGUUACCUCAGGUUACAGUCAUCUAAAAGCUUGUAUAGGGCUGGAGGAUCUGCUUCCAGGGUGGUGCACUCACAUGGCUGGCAAGUCAGUAGUGGUGGUUGGUGGACAACUCAGUUCCUCUACAGGCUGUCAGAGUGUACUUACAGCCUGACAACCAGCUUCUCCCAGAGCUACCAGUCCAAGAGGGAGACCUAAUCAGAAGCUAUCCUUCUUUGACCUAUGCUCAGAAGUGACAUUGCGUUCCUU